GGAGAGGUCCCUUUAAAUAGGCAUGAGGAUUGAAUCCUAUUCAAUCUCAUAAUACAAGUCCUACUUACAUUGGAUUUUCUAAUAACUUAAGUUAUUCAACUUACAUUAAGAAUCCUAUUAGGCACCAACUCUUGGAGCCCUUGCACCCAUUAUUUCACACUCUCUUUUGUACCCAAGGGACAUCCCAUAUGAGAUCCAUAAGCCCUCUAAUCAUGGGACACGUCCAACUUGAUCCAAUCAAGGUGGCACCCCAUAAAAACUAUCAAGAGAAUUAAUUAAGAACUUGCACCCUUAAUUCAUAUGAUCCAAAAUCUUAGACACCC
rnacentral:lncRNA from 1 species